rnacentral:antisense_RNA from 5 species
UCUACGGACGGGCAAUGGCGGGGAGACCUUGCGGUCUGCCGGGUGCUUACGUGACCGGUUCGCCAACCUCGCUAUAUGCCCGUCCACCUC